UACGUAGGUGGCAAGCGUUGUUCGGAAUUACUGGGCGUAAAGCGUGCGUAGGCGGUUCGUUAAGUUCGUUGUGAAAGCCCCGGGCUCAACCUGGGAAUGGCAAUGGAAACUGGCGGGCUGGAGUAUGGCAGAGGGGGGUGGAAUUCCGCGUGUAGCAGUGAAAUGCGUAGAGAUGCGGAGGAACACCGAUGGCGAAGGCAGCCCCCUGGGCCAAUACUGACGCUCAGGUACGAAAGCGUGGGGAGCAAACAGG
rnacentral:rRNA from 1 species